GAUGAACGCUGGCGGCGUGCCUAAUACAUGCAAGUCGAGCGAACAGAUAAGGAGCUUGCUCCUUUGACGUUAGCGGCGGACGGGUGAGUAACACGUGGAUAACCUACCUAUAAGACUGGGAUAACUUCGGGAAACCGGAGCUAAUACCGGAUAACAUAUUGAACCGCAUGGUUCAAUAGUGAAAGGCGGCUUUGCUGUCACUUAUAGAUGGAUCCGCGCCGUAUUAGCUAGUUGGUAAGGUAACGGCUUACCAAGGCAACGAUACGUAGCCGACCUGAGAGGGUGAUCGGCCACACUGGAACUGAGACACGGUCCAGACUCCUACGGGAGGCAGCAGUAGGGAAUCUUCCGCAAUGGGCGAAAGCCUGACGGAGCAACGCCGCGUGAGUGAUGAAGGUCUUCGGAUCGUAAAACUCUGUUAUCAGGGAAGAACAAAUGUGUAGGUAACUGUGCACAUCUUGACGGUACCUGAUCAGAAGGCCACGGCUAACUACGUGCCAGCCGCCGCGGUAA
rnacentral:rRNA from 1 species